AAAGACCGAAGAGAAAGAUGACAAGUAAAAUUUGCAAUUGACCCACUUUUUUUUUUGUUUUUUUGUUCUGUUUUUUUUUUGUUUU
rnacentral:ribozyme from 1 species